UGCCCGGGGUCCCGGGGCUGACCCCUCACCCGCCCGUGGUAUGUGGCCCCCACGGGGAGGACCGCAGGAAGCUCGGACCUUGGCCCGAACAACAAGGGGUUUGACUUCGGGGGCCGCCGGGUCGGAAAAUUAGUGAGGCCGAUCAGGAAAGUCAGUCUGGCUUGCCUCGUGCUUGCCAUCAAGUCUGUGGUACUUUGUGAGAACAGCAACAGAAAAUGAAUGUACCGGGUGACACGUCUCCGAGAAGAGCUCUCCAGGUGCACGGGGCCAGGGAUGGACACGGAGCCGCAGGAGAGGUCUGUGAGCUCACAGGUCCUGGAGCCUUCGGGCCUGCGUGCCGGUGCGGCGGGACCCCAGCAGCUCCGCGCAGAGAAGGGCGCUCUCACCUGCCCGGCUAGCUGGCGUGUGGGCGUCCGGCUUGAACAGCUCCCUACAGGCUCUGGGAGCAGGUGCAGCAGGUGCUCAUGGUCUAGAGGACCACCCAGCGAGGCGAACACCUAUUUCAUGCAACUGAGAGCUGAACAAACUGGAACAUUUGUGAACCAGCCCCCAGGACUGUGAGAAGCAGAUGCCGGGGAGGCCGUCUUGUCGCAGCGUCCUGUUAGAGUGGCUCAGGGUGAGAUGACGGGGAGCCUGGCCUGCAAUUGUCAAAGCCCGCCCCGGGGUCUCCGCCCGUGUGGCCGCUGCAUGGGACGCGAAUGUUCACCCUGGGGUCCUGCUCGGACGCGUUUUGCUCCUGCCAUCCCAGCGGCGCCGGCGGGGACCCUGAGUCAGCUCUCCAGACGGCAUUCCAUGCACGAUGCUGCCGCUCGUGCGAGGAACACUGGGUGUCCCGUAGAAGAACGCUCACCCUGGUGGCAGCAGCAGCUGAGUGAAGGAGAAGGGAGGAAGCCCAGGCGGCCGAAGGAGAGACGCCACUCUUCCAGAACCUGGAAGUGCCGCUGGCAUGAGCGAACACUGGUCACUAAAGUUCUGUCCGACGCACACGUGGGAGACGUCCGCUUUCCGGUUUUCUUCAACCUCUUCCUCUGCCUGCCUCCGCGUUUCCUUCAGAAGUCCUCCCUGGUCUCCUCUUCUUGCUCCAUUUCUGAACUUUAGAAGUAGGGAAAUAAACUCAUGAGACUCUCACUACAUUUUAUCCAAAUGAAUGAAUGAUCAUGUCCUAACUAGUGGGCACCCCUUCUUGCUCUGCCACCUGGAACGUUCUAGAUGGCUUCUUUGGGAACCGAUUGCAGAAACAGCUUACCGGUCACACAGAAGAGCCAUUUCCGGGACUUCAUCAUCCCCGGCUGUGCAAUACGAGCAACAUCCCAGGGAUUCUCCCAAGUAGAUGUCACUAAUGAAGUGCACGUCACCCAACAUGUCAUUAACUUCAGCAAGUGUGUAAGAGUGAUGCGCUUUAAAGUUCCCAUUCCCUGAAUAGCUUCACGUCGUGGGGAAGCAGAGACGGGCCGGGCCCCCUGUUAGAGUCCUAGGGAUGUCGUAACAAAGACAGGCUGGUUUACACCACAGAAGUUUGUUUGUCAUGGUCCUGGAGGCCCGAAGUCCGAGACGGAGGGGUUGGCAGGGCUGGCUGUCCCACGGCCUCUCUCCUUGGCUUGUACACGGCCCCCUUCUCUCUGUGUCUGCACCUGGUCUUCCCUCUGUGUGUGUCUGUGUCCUAAUCUCCUUUUAAGGACACCAGUCGUAUUGGAUUAGAGGCCACCCGUGUGAUCUCCUUUGACCUUACUUACCUCUCUGAGAGCCCCGUCUCCAAAUAUCACCUCCGGAGAGGUGCUGGGGUCUAGGACUCACCAGAUGAGUUUUGGGGUGGCACAAUUCAGCCCUCAACAGGCAAUGACUGAAGUUCCGGCUGCUCUGGGCUCUCUAUCCAGCAGCUGGGUGACCUUGGACCAGUCCCCGCUUCCCUUAUCGCCAACCCCGGGAGUCAGACUAGAUCACCCUGGAUCUCUGCAGCUCCAAGGCUCUGUGGGAACCAGUAGUAGUGUCGUGUUGGGAUGCUCUACGGCACGAGUGAGGGCUUUGGCACCAGGACCACCCAUCCCUGGUGCGCUCCGGUUUCUUGAUAUUUGACAACAGACUUUGUUAGCUCUGCUGGGCAAGCUGAGCGUUUCUCCCGGGCUCUGGAAGCAACAGCAGCAGCAUCUCUGCUGGAAACAUCCUCAGUGACACGUUGUCUGGGCUUCUCCCUUCUGUUGGGUCCUGAGAUGGCAGCUCCUGAUCAUGCACUGGAGGAAGGAAGGAAGAGGUCUGGGGCCUCCUAAGCAGAACAAGGGCACUUUCUAUUCAGGGUAACUCUAUAUACGUGCGCUGUCAAAGAUCAAAGCUGGAGCAAACCAACCAGGGAAUGCAAAGCAGUCAGCAGGAACAGCAAAACCCUCACUGUGGGUGCCCAGGCAGACACACGCUGUCACAGCGGGCUUUGGCGGGCCGGGAGCCCGUCUCUACCUUUCCAGGUCCCCGGAGUCAGCCGGGGUUGCCAGGCCUCCGGAACAAGCCUGAAGUUUGCGGCCUAUUCUCUACCCUGCUGUGUGCCUCCGAGGGCAGUAGCCCUGUGGGGUCAGCUGGCCCCCGAGCUCCCGGCCCAAGGGAAGAGAAGCAGGUACGGGGGCUCUCUGAGCAGGGCCAGGUUCUCCUGCCUUGGGUGGGAUCUUCAUCCUUCUCUUGACUGUAAGAAGCUGGUCUUCAGGGGCACCUGGGGAGCCUCAGUCAGUUAAGUGUCUGCCUUUGGCUCAGGUCAUGAUCCUGGAGUCCCGGAAUCGAGCCCCGCAUGGGGUUCUCCGCUCAGCAGGGAGUCUGCUUCUCCCUCUGCCCCUCCCCCUGCUCGUGCUCUCUCUCAAAUAAAUAAAAUCUUUUAAUAAAAAGAAACUGGUCUUUAAACUAGCUUCCUCAUAUUUAUGCCAAGUAACCAAACUUUGCAGAUUCUGUUUCCUUCUCUAGGACAUCACAACACAGAUGCCCAGGGGAGUCGUCGUGAGGGACCAGUGAGAUUCUCGAGCGUGCAGAGCCAGCACCCAGUACAGGGCCACUGUCUGUGUGUUUAUGUUGUGCGAGCCUCUGCUGAUUUGGGGGCACAUUGGGUGAGUCCGGACACUGGGGUGCGAUUGCCCAUGGGGAAUGGGGUGCGUGGCUGCUCCUGAGCUCAGCACGGUCAUGUUCACAACACGCACGCGGGUGCACAGCACUUUGGGGGGCACACAGCCCUGGGGGCGAGUUCUCCCUCCAACCCUGCGAGGUCGGGGCUGGUCCUCUCCCCUCACAUGAGGGAUGCUGCAGAGACAGAGGUUAGCGCCAGCCCUGCCCAAGGUCACACAGGUGGCAGGAGGACGCGGGUGGGGCCUGGCCUCAGCCCUCCUGCUGCUCUGAGCGGCUGCAGCCCCGGGCCCGGGCUGGGUCACAGUCUCCGGGCUCACCAUGGCCUGCAGAAACCCUGCCUCCUGCCCGGGCCAGCUUGUGCGACACGGACGGAGCCUUCCACAACCACCACGGAGGCCCAGAGCG